rnacentral:lncRNA from 10 species
GUGGGCCUCUUUGAAUUUUGGAGGCCACAUAUAUCUUAUUUGGGAGUGCUCUAACCCAUUCAUCAAAUAAUUGAAAGGUUUUCAGUUCUGAUGGAUGUCCAGGCUGCCAUUAAAGCUGCUCUGCCACUUGGGCCAUAUGACCCAGUAAAUCUAUUAGUGCUUAAAGAGUCUGUGGCCAAUAUGGAUGCUGUCUGGAGCCUUUGGAAAUGCUCCUUUAGGUGAAUCAUAGUGCAUAUCUUCAGGAUGUUGGAGUAGAUAUACAAUCCCCUGUCAGCAACUAUUGUCCUUUUGGGAAACGGUUUCUGGCUUGCAAUUGAGCCCUAGUAUAGACUGACCAUUUGAUCAUGGGCCACCAAAUGGACAUGGGACUUGAGUUGCCCAUCAUUCAUUGAGUGCUAUCUGACCCACUGCAUCACAACACUGAGCAUGCAAAACAGCACUUCAUUGAGUGGAAGAGACUCAGGCCUAUCCUGAAGGCAGAAGUAAGUUGUCUAAACAAAUGGUUGAGAAUGGCUUCUACUCUUGCUACUCACUUCUUCUUUACCCACCUGCACCCACAUUCUCAUGGUAUUUUCCCUACAACUGAAUGACUGAAGAAGAAUUAUUUAGGUCUGGUUUACAGACCAUCCUGCCCAAUAUGCUAGCAUUACUUGAAAGUGGGCAGCUAGGUGAGCAUGACAACUUUUCUCAAAGCCCUUAAGGAUAGAGGCAAAGGGAAAUCCUUUUAGUGGCAGAAUAUUGAGCAAUGUAUCUGUUUGCUUAUCCUUUUCUGGAAGAAUUGAUAAUCGGGAGUAUGCCUCAUGAUAAUCAGUGGUAUGACUCACUGACUCAUGGGAAGUAGUUAAAUGGCCAGAGACUUGGAAGGAACACAUUUGGAAGAUUGGUGACAAGGAGACCUGGAAAAGGAUUAUGUAGAUAGAUUUCUCUGAAUAAGUACAAAGCAACCUCAACCGAGGAAGAUCUCAAUAACCAGGGUCUGGUGCUCACUGUGUGUAAUCGUGACUGCGGGGACCCGCCUAUCGGAGUAAAUAUGUAAAAGGAGGUGAAGAGGUGGGCCUGAUCCCUGGCCCGAGGAGUGAAUUCAGGCAAAGCCCUUGAUGUCUUUGUGCCUAAGUGUCUCUCCAGUUGAGGAAAACAGUCGCUGUUGUUAAGCCUCCUGGGUAGAUGCCAAAAGAAUGGCCACUCAUGAGGAAGAGGGCUGCAUUAGGCUGAGAAAGCCGCAGGAAGUGACUGAGAGGGAAGAGAGAAAGUGCAGCUUACUGUGUGUGCUGGUGUCACUUGACCCUCUCCACAUUACCCCAGGGGCAUCAGGACUUGAAGAACUGGCCCAAAAAUGCUGCUACUCUGGCUACUACCAUUGCUGUGAGUUAAAAACUGUCCUUUGUCUCUGACCCAGGAGUUCUAUGCCUUCUACCAGCAUCCAUGAAACUUGGCUGGCUAAAUUGUUAGCUUUCCAGUAGCUAUUAUGAAAUCUCAGGCCCUUUGUGAUUAUUUUUUUGUUUGUUGGUUUGGGUUUUGUACAUAUUUAUGGGGUACAUGUGACAUUGUGUCACAUGCGUAGAAUGUGUACUUCUACUUCAGGAUGUUUAGGAGAUCCAUCACCAUAAACUUUACCAUUUCUAUGUGUUGAGAACAUUUCAAGUUCUCACUUCUAGCUACAAUACAUUGUUGUUAACUGUAGUCACCUUACUCUACAAUUGAAUAUUACUGCUUAUUCCUUCUGUAUAACUGUAUGUUUGUACCCAUUAAUCAAUCUGUCUUCAUCUACACAUCUAAAUCCUUCCCAGUCUCUUGUCACCACCAUUUGAUUUUCCACCUCCAUGAGAUCCAUAUUUUAAGCUCCCACAUAUAAGUGAGUACAUGCAAUAUUUAUUUCUGUGUCUGGCUUAUUUAACUUGAUAUAAUGACCUACAGUUCCAUCUAUGUUGCUGUAAAUGACAUGAUUUCAUUCUUUUUUUGGACAAAUAGUAUUCCAUUGCAUAAAUAAA